UACGUAGGGUGCGAGCGUUGUCCGGAAUUAUUGGGCGUAAAGAGCUUGUAGGUGGUUUGUCGCGUCUGCUGUGAAAAUCCGAGGCUCAACCUCGGACUUGCAGUGGGUACGGGCAGACUAGAGUGUGGUAGGGGAGACUGGAAUUCCUGGUGUAGCGGUGGAAUGCGCAGAUAUCAGGAGGAACACCGAUGGCGAAGGCAGGUCUCUGGGCCGAUU
rnacentral:rRNA from 1 species